UACGUAGGGGGCAAGCGUUGUCCGGAUUUACUGGGCGUAAAGAGCGCGUAGGCGGAAGCUUAAGUGUGGCCUGAAAGCCCCCGGCUCAACCGGGGAAGGUGGCUGCAAACUGGGCUUCUUGAGGGGGAUAGGGGAAAGUGGAAUUCCGGGUGUAGCGGUGAAAUGCGUAGAGAUCCGGAGGAACACCAGUGGCGAAGGCGGGUCUCUGGGCAGUAACUGACGCUGAGGAGCGAAAGCGUGGGGAGCGAACAGG
rnacentral:rRNA from 1 species